UACGUAGGGGGCAAGCGUUGUCCGGAUUUAUUGGGCGUAAAGAGCGUGUAGGCGGCCUGGAAGGUCAGCUGUGAAACUCGAGGCUCAACCUCGAGACGUCGGUUGAAACCACCUGGCUAGAGUCCGGAAGAGGAGAGUGGAAUUCCCGGUGUAGCGGUGAAAUGCGCAGAUAUCGGGAAGAACACCCGUGGCGAAGGCGGCUCUCUAGUACGGUACUGACGCUGAGACGCGAAAGCGUGGGGAGCGAACAGG
rnacentral:rRNA from 1 species